UGCAAGUCGAGCGGUAGAGAGAAGCUUGCUUCUCUUGAGAGCGGCGGACGGGUGAGUAAUGCCUAGGAAUCUGCCUGGUAGUGGGGGAUAACGUUCGGAAACGGACGCUAAUACCGCAUACGUCCUACGGGAGAAAGCAGGGGACCUUCGGGCCUUGCGCUAUCAGAUGAGCCUAGGUCGGAUUAGCUAGUUGGUGAGGUAAUGGCUCACCAAGGCGACGAUCCGUAACUGGUCUGAGAGGAUGAUCAGUCACACUGGAACUGAGACACGGUCCAGACUCCUACGGGAGGCAGCAGUGGGGAAUAUUGGACAAUGGGCGAAAGCCUGAUCCAGCCAUGCCGCGUGUGUGAAGAAGGUCUUCGGAUUGUAAAGCACUUUAAGUUGGGAGGAAGGGUUGUAGAUUAAUACUCUGCAAUUUUGACGUUACCGACAGAAUAAGCACCGGCUAACUCUGUGCCAGCAGCCGCGGUAAUACAGAGGGUGCAAGCGUUAAUCGGAAUUACUGGGCGUAAAGCGCGCGUAGGUGGUUUGUUAAGUUGGAUGUGAAAUCCCCGGGCUCAACCUGGGAACUGCAUUCAAAACUGACUGACUAGAGUAUGGUAGAGGGUGGUGGAAUUUCCUGUGUAGCGGUGAAAUGCGUAGAUAUAGGAAGGAACACCAGUGGCGAAGGCGACCACCUGGACUAAUACUGACACUGAGGUGCGAAAGCGUGGGGAGCAAACAGGAUUAGAUACCCUGGUAGUCCACGCCGUAAACGAUGUCAACUAGCCGUUGGAAGCCUUG
rnacentral:rRNA from 1 species